rnacentral:rRNA from 1 species
GGGCCCGCACAAGCGGUGGAGCAUGUGGUUUAAUUCGAUGCAACGCGAAGAACCUUACCGAGACUUGACAUCCCGUGACCAUCUACGAAAGUAGAGUCUAGCUUCGGCUACACGGAGACAGGUGGUGCAUGGUUGUCGUCAGCUCGUGUCGUGAGAUGUUGGGUUAAGUCCCGCAACGAGCGCAACCCUCAUCCUUAGUUGCCAGCGGGUGAUGCCGGGGACUCUAAGGAGACAGCCGGUGAAAGCCGGAGGAAGGUGGGGAUGACGUCAAAUCAUCAUGCCCUUUAUGUUUCGGGCUACACACGUGCUACAAUGGUCAGUACAGAGGGGGGCGAAGGCGCGAACCGGAGCAAAUCCCUGAAAGCUGAUCUCAGUUCGGAUUGCAGGCUGCAACCCGCCUGCAUGAAGUCGGAAUCGCUAGUAAUCGCAGGUCAGCAUACUGCGGUGAAUACGUUCCCGGGCCUU